UCAGAAUGAAGGACCCCCCCCUGA
rnacentral:piRNA from 1 species